UACGUAGGGUCCGAGCGUUGUCCGGAAUUAUUGGGCGUAAAGGGCUCGUAGGCGGUUUGUCGCGUCGGGAGUGAAAACUCAGGGCUCAACCCUGAGCGUGCUUCCGAUACGGGCUGGCUAGAGGCAGGCAGGGGAGAACGGAAUUCCUGGUGUAGCGGUGAAAUGCGCAGAUAUCAGGAGGAACACCGGUGGCGAAGGCGGUUCUCUGGGCCUAUACUGACGCUGAGGAGCGAAAGCGUGGGGAGCGAACAGG
rnacentral:rRNA from 1 species